rnacentral:lncRNA from 1 species
GUAUGAAGAUAGAUUUUGGCUGGUGUAAAGUUUUUCUUUGAGCAUUGUGGAAAUGUAUGAAGAAAAUGAGUUUGAAGAAAUGAAUAUAUGGCAUUAGCAGACUCAACCCAACUACUUGGGGUUGAGUACAUGAAAUCCCUUAUUUUGUGACUUUGUUCAUACCAUCUGUUAAAUCAUUGCUUAUUUGUUCCUUUUCUCAA